rnacentral:tRNA from 1 species
AGCAUGGCUUAGUGGUUUGAGUGGUGGACUAUGACUCCAGAGACCAGGGUUCGAAUCCUGGUUCAGCCA